AACGAACGCUGGCGGCGUGCUUAACACAUGCAAGUCGAACGUGAUUGGGAGCUUGCUCCCAUGAAAGUGGCGCACGGGUGAGUAACACGUGGAUAAUCUGCCUGGAGAUUCGGGAUAACACUUCGAAAGGGGUGCUAAUACCGGAUAAGCCCACGGACUUUUUGGAGUUUGCGGGAAAAGGGGGCCUCUGCAUAUGCUCCUGUCACCAGAUGAGUCCGCGGCCCAUUAGCUAGUUGGUAGGGUAAUGGCCUACCAAGGCGACGAUGGGUAGCUGGGCUGGGGGGAUGAGCAGCCACACUGGAACUGAGACACGGUCCAGACUGCUACGGGAGGGAGCAGUGGGGAAUUUUGCGCAAUGGGCGAAGGCCUGACGCAGCACCGCCGCGUGAGUGAUGAAGGCCCUCGGGUCGUAAAGCUCUGUCAGAGGGGAAGAACCGCCGGGUAGCUAAUACCUGCCUGGUCUGACGGUACCCUCAAAGGAAGCACCGGCUAACUCCGUGCCAGCCGCCGCCGUAAUAC
rnacentral:rRNA from 1 species